ensembl:lncRNA LINC01791 long intergenic non-protein coding RNA 1791
GUCUCAUUCCGAGAUUGUGUGCUGAGGGUUUUCAACUGCAUCUCUAAAGGGAAGGCCAAAGAAAGAGCAACAGGAAAGGAUGACCUGCCUUGCAAGAAAUGUUAAAAGAAGUGCUUUAGAGAGCAGGGAAAUUCUAUAGGUCAGACACUUGGAUCUACAUAAAAAAAGGAAGAAACCAAAGGAGAAAUAAGUGAAGUCCAAAGAGUCCAUGACAGAGAGACUCAGUGGGAUCUAAAAUAAGGAUUCAUUCUUCAGACAACUCCUGCUCAUGGUUUCCCCCUAUCUUUACAAAAUCGAUCUCAGAUUCAUUCAACAUGCAUUCAACAGGCUUUGCCACACUGUGACUGUCAGGAGGUUCUUACUUGCAGAAGGAGAUGCUUCAGGUACAUGUUUGUACCAGAGCAUUAGUAAGGCUGCAUCACAGAGUGAGAUGUGCAUAUCUUCAGGCUCUAAAGACUUAAGGGAAGUUCUUCGAAGCUGACAGUGAGGCCUUUAUGCUUUCACCAUACGUAUAAAAUCAGUGUUUCUGGAUUGGACCCCAAAAAUUCAUUAGUUCUCUGCUCUCAGACAAGACACUUCUCCCAGUGGAGCUUGUUUUUCACUGCCUAUGGAGAGACAGGUGAACAAAAUGAUUCCGUGUCUUGACCUAUGACCUCUGUAUCAGAGAAUGACUCAGUAGCUACUGUGAAUAAAUAAACCCCUAAAUCCAAA